CAAAGCUGGAGAUGCUGCCAAGGGAGGGAAGAAGAAGUGAACAGGCACUUUUACUAUCAUGUCUUGCUUUUACAUUAUCUGUUGUGUUUUUUGGUUAAGAGACCAUAAUGUUGUGUAGGGAGUUACUUGGGAACUGUUGUCUAAUUUUGAUUUGAGUAUGAAUUGUUGGGCAAUGCUGCAUCUAUAAUGCUAUGACUUUGUUUUUG
rnacentral:misc_RNA from 1 species